UACGGGGGGGGCAAGCGUUGUUCGGAAUUACUGGGCGUAAAGGGCUCGUAGGUGGCCAACUAAGUCGGACGUGAAAUCCCUCAGCUUAACUGGGGAACUGCGUCCGAUACUGGAUGGCUUGAGUUCGGGAGAGGGAUGCGGAAUUCCAGGUGUAGCGGUGAAAUGCGUAGAUAUCGGGAGGAACACCAGCGGCGAAGGCGGCACUCUGGGCUGGUACUGACGCUGAGGAGCGAAAGCGUGGGUAGCAAACAGG
rnacentral:rRNA from 1 species